CCUACGGGUGGCAGCAGUGAGGAAUAUUGGUCAAUGGGCGGAAGCCUGAACCAGCCAAGUAGCGUGCAGGAUGACGGCCCUACGGGUUGUACACUGCUUUUAUACGGGAAUAACGCGCCUUGCGUGUAGGGCUUUGCAUGUACCUAAUGAAUAAGGACCGGCUAAUUCCGUGCCAGCAGCCCCGGUAAUACGGAAGGUCCGGGCGUUUUCCGGAUUUAUUGGGUUUAAAGGGAGCGUAGGCUGCAUUUCAAGCGUGCUGUGAAAUGUUCGGGCUCAACCCGGUCCUUGCAGCGGAAACUGGCGUUCGUGAGUGCGGGGAAGGCAGGCGGAAUUCGUGGUGUAGCGGUGAAAUGCUUAGAUAUGACGAAGAACACCGAUUGCGAAGGCAGGUUGCUGGAGCGGAACUGACGCUGAUGCUCGAAAGCGCGGGUAGCGAACAGGAUUAGAUACCCCAGUAGUC
rnacentral:rRNA from 1 species